UGGGGAAUCUUGCGCAAUGGGCGAAAGCCUGACGCAGCGACGCCGCGUGAGGGAUGAAGGCUCUCGGGUUGUAAACCUCUUUCAGCGGGGACGAAGCGAAAGUGACGGUACCCGCAGAAGAAGCCCCGGCUAACUACGUGCCAGCAGCCGCGGUAAUACGUAGGGGGCGAGCGUUGUCCGGAUUUAUUGGGCGUAAAGGGCUCGUAGGUGGCUUGGCAAGUCGGACGUAAAAGUCCAGGGCUCAACCCUGGGAUGCGUUCGAUACUGUCAGGCUAGAGGCCGGUAGGGGGAUCUGGAAUUCCUGGUGUAGCGGUGAAAUGCGCAGAUAUCAGGAGGAACACCGGUGGCGAAGGCGGGAUCCUGGGCCGGACCUGACACUGAUGAGCGAAAGCUGGGGGAGCAAACAG
rnacentral:rRNA from 1 species